UUGAAGGUUGGGUAACACUAACUGGAGGACCGAACCGACUAAUGUUGAAAAAUUAGCGGAUGACCUGUGGCUGGGGGUGAAAGGCCAAUCAAACCGGGAGAUAGCUGGUUCUCCCCGAAAGCUAUUUAGGUAGCGCCUCGUGAAUUCAUCUCCGGGGGUAGAGCACUGUUUCGGCUAGGGGGCCAUCCCGGCUUACCAACCCGAUGCAAACUGCGAAUACCGGAGAAUGUUAUCACGGGAGACACACGGCGGGUGCUAACGUCCGUCGUGAAGAGGGAAACAACCCAGACCGCCAGCUAAGGUCCCAAAGUCAUGGUUAAGUGGGAAACGAUGUGGGAAGGCCCAGACAGCCAGGAUGUUGGCUUAGAAGCAGCCAUCAUUUAAAGAAAGCGUAAUAGCUCACUGGUCGAGUCGGCCUGCGCGGAAGAUGUAACGGGGCUAAACUAUGCACCGAAGCUGCGGCAGCGACACUGUGUGUUGUUGGGUAGGGGAGCGUUCUGUAAGCCUGUGAAGGUGUGUCGUGAGGCAUGCUGGAGGUAUCAGAAGUGCGAAUGCUGACAUAAGUAACGAUAAAGCGGGUGAAAAGCCCGCUCGCCGGAAGACCAAGGGUUCCUGUCCAACGUUAAUCGGGGCAGGGUGAGUCGACCCCUAAGGCGAGGCCGAAAGGCGUAGUCGAUGGGAAACGGGUUAAUAUUCCCGUACUUGGUGUUACUGCGAAGGGGGGACGGAGAAGGCUAUGUUGGCCGGGCGACGGUUGUCCCGGUUUAAGCGUGUAGGUGUGUGUUCCAGGUAAAUCCGGUUCACUUUAACACUGAGGCGUGACGACGAGGCACUACGGUGCUGAAGCAACAAAUGCCCUGCUUCCAGGAAAAGCCUCUAAGCAUCAGGUAACAUCAAAUCGUACCCCAAACCGACACAGGUGGUCAGGUAGAGAAUACCAAGGCGCUUGAGAGAACUCGGGUGAAGGAACUAGGCAAAAUGGUGCCGUAACUUCGGGAGAAGGCACGCUGACACGUAGGUGAAGUGAUUUACUCAUGGAGCUGAAGUCAGUCGAAGAUACCAGCUGGCUGCAACUGUUUAUUAAAAACACAGCACUGUGCAAACACGAAAGUGGACGUAUACGGUGUGACGCCUGCCCGGUGCCGGAAGGUUAAUUGAUGGGGUCAGCGCAAGCGAAGCUCCUGAUCGAAGCCCCGGUAAACGGCGGCCGUAACUAUAACGGUCCUAAGGUAGCGAAAUUCCUUGUCGGGUAAGUUCCGACCUGCACGAAUGGCGUAAUGAUGGCCAGGCUGUCUCCACCCGAGACUCAGUGAAAUUGAACUCGCUGUGAAGAUGCAGUGUACCCGCGGCAAGACGGAAAGACCCCGUGAACCUUUACUAUAGCUUGACACUGAACAUUGAGCCUUGAUGUGUAGGAUAGGUGGGAGGCUUUGAAGUGUGGACGCCAGUCUGCAUGGAGCCGACCUUGAAAUACCACCCUUUAAUGUUUGAUGUUCUAACGUGGACCCGUGAUCCGGGUUGCGGACAGUGUCUGGUGGGUAGUUUGACUGGGGCGGUCUCCUCCUAAAGAGUAACGGAGGAGCACGAAGGUUGGCUAAUCCUGGUCGGACAUCAGGAGGUUAGUGCAAUGGCAUAAGCCAGCUUGACUGCGAGCGUGACGGCGCGAGCAGGUGCGAAAGCAGGUCAUAGUGAUCCGGUGGUUCUGAAUGGAAGGGCCAUCGCUCAACGGAUAAAAGGUACUCCGGGGAUAACAGGCUGAUACCGCCCAAGAGUUCAUAUCGACGGCGGUGUUUGGCACCUCGAUGUCGGCUCAUCACAUCCUGGGGCUGAAGUAGGUCCCAAGGGUAUGGCUGUUCGCCAUUUAAAGUGGUACGCGAGCUGGGUUUAGAACGUCGUGAGACAGUUCGGUCCCUAUCUGCCGUGGGCGCUGGAGAACUGAGGGGGGCUGCUCCUAGUACGAGAGGACCGGAGUGGACGCAUCACUGGUGUUCGGGUUGUCAUGCCAAUGGCACUGCCCGGUAGCUAAAUGCGGAAGAGAUAAGUGCUGAAAGCAUCUAAGCACGAAACUUGCCCCGAGAUGAGUUCUCCCUGAGACUUAGAGUCUCCUGAAGGAACGUUGAAGACGACGACGUUGAUAGGCCGGGUGUGUAAGCGCAGCGAUGCGUUGAGCUAACCGGUACUAAUGAACCGUGAGGCUUAACCUUACAACGCCGAAG
rnacentral:rRNA from 1 species